CUCUUAUCAAGAGUGGUGGAGGGAUGUGCCCUACGAAACCCGGCAACCGUCUGUUACAGAAAUGGCGCCAAUUCACAUAAAGCUUAACGGCUUUUGAAGAUGAGAG
rnacentral:ncRNA from 2 species